AGGAAAAAAGGAACCGAAAUAGCCCAGACUGGCGCUCCCCGGACCCUGCGGCUGGCGGCGCUGCCCACGGAGGGGGCGGGCUGGGAGUGCGGGAUCCGGGGGAGACGAAGGCGAAGGAGCUGCGGGGCUCGUUUUGCUUCGGGAAAAGAUGGAGUGAAGGUGCCUGAACGCAGGAACCCUGGUCUUCAGUGCUGCCUCAGCAUUAGCUGAAGUGCCAUGGGCCGGCUCCCAGGGUACCAGAGUUUCCCACCAUUUGAGUACCAGUGAACUAGAGUCAGCAAGUUAAAGUAAGAGAGAACUUACUUGAAGGUCGAUGAUUUCUCUUGCUGACUCCAUCUCGCUGCCCUCAAGUCCCUUCACACGCACCGGGUGCCGGGA